rnacentral:rRNA from 1 species
AGAAAUAGUUUUCUUGAAUUUAAAUUAUUAUUAUUAUUUUAUUAAUUUUAUUAUAAUAAAAUAUUAUUUUUGUAGUAAAUAAAAUUGAAUAAAUUUGUUUAAUUAAAUUUUAUUAGUAUUUAAAUAGAAAUAAUAAAAAUAAAUUAAAGGUUAAUUAAUUUUUAUUACCUUUUGUAUCAGGGUUUAAAUAAAAUUUAAAAUAUUUUUAUUUCCCGAAAACUUUGGAUUUAAUUUACUAUAAUUUUUAAUGUGGAAUAAUUUAAAUUAAAUAGUUAAUUAGAAGUUAAAAAUUAAUCGUUAAAGUUUAUUUCUGGUUUUUAGAUAAAUUAAUUUAAUUAAGAAUUUAGUAUUUUUUUAUUUUUAAUAAAUUAAAAUAAAAUUAUUAAUAUUUAAAUUAUAAAGAGUUUAGUUUUUAUAAUUUUUAAAUUUUAUGGAUUAAAAAUUUUUUUUAGUUUUAAUAUUAUUUAAAGUUAAUAAUUUUUUAUAAAUAAAAAUUUUUUUGUUUGUUUUUAUUAAACAAAUUAAUUUUGUAUCUAAAUUAAAUUUGAAACUAAUUCAAAUUUGUAUUUAUUUUAAAAUUAGUAAAAUUUAGAAUUUAAAUUUAGUAACUCGGCAAAUAUAAUUUGCGCCUGUUUAUCAAAAACAUGUCUUUAAGAAUUUAUAUAAAGUCUAAUCUGCUCACUGAAAAUUUUAAAGAGCCGCAGUAUUUUGACUGUGCAAAGGUAGCAUAAUCAAUAGUUUUUUAAUUGAAAACUGGAAUGAAUGAUUGUACGAUGAAUUAGCUUUCUUAAUUUUAAUUUUUGAAUUUAAAAUUUAGGUAAAAAUACCUAAAUUUUUUUAAUAGACGAGAAGACCCUUUAGAUUUUUAUUAAUAAGUUUAUUAAUAAUUAAUUUAAUAUAUUUAUUAAUUUUAUUGGGGUGAUAUUGUAAUAAAAAUAACUUAAUUAUUUUUAACCAUUUAUAAGUGAAUUUUUUGAUCUAAAAUUUUUAAUAACAAGAUUAAAUUACCUAAGGGAUAACAGCGUCAUAUUAUUUAAGAGUUCAUAUCUAUAAUAAUUAUUGCGACCUCGAUGUUGAAUUAAAAAAUAAACUAAAGCAGAAAUUAGAGUUUAUUAGUCUGUUCGACUAUUAAAUUUUUACAUGAUUUGAGUUCAGACCGGCGUAAGCCAGGUCAGUUUCUAUCUUUAAUAUAAUUUUAUAAAUGGGUACGAAAGGAUAAUUUAUUAAUAAAAUUUA